GCUUCCGCUCCAAAAUCCCAAAGGCGGACGGUGCCGUCCCACUGCCGGACCCACGGCGCCCCAUAGGGAAACGUGGCGACCCAUAGGGACCCACAGGGACCCAUAGGGACCCAUAGACCCCAUAGAUCCCAUAGAGACCCCAUACAGACCCAUAGUGACCCACACAUCCCAUUGAGACCCAUAGGGACCCACAGAUCCCAUAGAGACCACAGAGGGACCCAUAGAAACCCCAUAGAGACCCAUAGGGACACAUAGGGACCCACAGAUCCCAUAGAGACCCCAUAGAUCCCAUACAGCCCCAUAGAGACCCACAGAGACCCAUAGGGACCCACAGAUCCCAUAGAGACCCACAGAGCCCCAUAAAGACCCACAGGGACCCUUAGAGCCCCAUAGAGACCCUAUAAAGACCCACAGAUCCCAUAGAGCCCCAUAGAGACUCACAGAUCCCAUAGAGACCCCAUAGAGACCCCAUAGAGCUCCAUAGAGCCCCAUAGAGACCCACAGAGACCCAUAGGGACCCAUAGAGACCCAUAGGGACCCACAGAUCCCAUAGAGACCCAUAGGGAUCCCAUACAGCCCCAUAGGGACCCAUAGAGCCCCAUACAGACCCACAGGGCCCCAUAGAGACCCAUAGAGACCCAUAGAUCCCAUAAAGACCCCAUAGAGACCCAUAGGGACCCAUAGAUCCCAUAGAGACCCCAUACAGACCCAUAGGGACCCACAGAGACCCACAGAUCCCAUAGGGACCCAUAGGGACCCACAGAGACCCAUAGAGACCCAUAGAGACCCGUAGAUCCCAUAGAGCCCCACAGGGACCCCAUAGAGACCCACAGAUCCCAUAGAGAGCCCAUAGAGAGCCCAUAGAGCCCCAUAGAUCCCAUAAAGACCCAUAGAGAAGGAUAGGGACCCAUAGGGACACCAAAAAAACCCCACAGAGACCCAUAAAGAUCCAUAGGGACCCAUAGGGACCCAUAGGAACCCAUAAAACCCCAUAGAGACCCAUAGAGACCCACAGAUCCCAUAGAGCCCCAUAGAGACCCCAUAGGGACCCAUAGAUGCCAUAGAGACCCAUAGAUCCCAUAGGGACCCAUAGAGACCCCAUAGGCCCCAUAGAGACCCAUAGGAACACCAAAAAAACCCCAUAGAGACCCAUAAAGAUCCAUAGGGACACAUAGGGACCCAUAGGAACCCAUAAAACCCCAUAGAGACCCAUAGGGACCCCAUAGAGACCCACGGAGACCCACAGGGACCCAUAGGGACACCAAAAAAAACCCAUACAGACCCAUAGAGACCCCAUAGAUUCAAUAAAGACCCCAUAGGGACCCA
rnacentral:lncRNA from 1 species